rnacentral:siRNA from 1 species
UCAUCAUAGAGCCUAUCUUAGAUU